rnacentral:rRNA from 1 species
GACGAACGCUGGCGGCGUGCUUAACACAUGCAAGUCGAACGGAAAGGCCCUGCUUUUGUGGGGUGCUCGAGUGGCGAACGGGUGAGUAACACGUGAGUAACCUGCCCUUGACUUUGGGAUAACUUCAGGCAACUGGGGCUACUACCGGCUAGGAGCUCCUGCUGCAUGGGGGGGGUUGGAACGCUUCGGCGGUUGGGGAUGGACUCGCGGGUUAUCAGCUUGUUGGUGGGGUAGUGGCUUACCCAGGCUUUGACGGGUAGCCGGCCUGAGAGGGGGACCGGCCACAUUGGGACUGAGAGACGGCCCAGACUCCUACGGGAGGCAGCAGUGGGGAAUAUUGCACAAUGGGCGGAAGCCUGAUGCGGCAACGCCGCGUGCGGGAUGACGGCCUUCGGGUUGUAAACCGCUUUCGCCUGAGACGAAGCGUGAGUGACGGUAAUGGGUAAAGAAGCACCGGCUAACUACGUG